AUUGAACGCUGGCGGCAGGCCUAACACAUGCAAGUCGAACGCAGUGGGGACGGGUGAGUAACACGUGGGUAACCUCCCAUCAGAGGGGAUAACACUUGGAAACAGGUGCUAAACCGAUACUGAUGGAUGGACCCGCGGUGCAUUAGCUAGUUGGUGAGGUAACGGCGCACCAAGGCAACGAUGCAUCGCCGUCCUGAUAGGGUGAUCGGCCACACUGGGACUGAGACACGGCCCAGACUCCUACGGGAGGCAGCAGUAGGGAAUCUGCGGCAAUGGACGAAAGUCUGACCGAGCAACGCCGCGUGAGUGAAGAAGGUUUUCGGUUCGUAAAACUCUUUUGUUAGAGAAGCGGUAUCUAACCAGAAAGCCACGGCUAACUACGUGCCAGCAGCCGCGGUAAUAC
rnacentral:rRNA from 1 species